rnacentral:rRNA from 1 species
AGACCCGAAACCCGGUGAUCUAGCCAUGGGCAGGUUGAAGGUUGGGUAACACUAACUGGAGGACCGAACCGACUAAUGUUGAAAAAUUAGCGGAUGACCUGUGGCUGGGGGUGAAAGGCCAAUCAAACCGGGAGAUAGCUGGUUCUCCCCGAAAGCUAUUUAGGUAGCGCCUCGUGAAUUCAUCUCCGGGGGUAGAGCACUGUUUCGGCUAGGGGGCCAUCCCGGCUUACCAACCCGAUGCAAACUGCGAAUACCGGAGAAUGUUAUCACGGGAGACACACGGCGGGUGCUAACGUCCGUCGUGAAGAGGGAAACAACCCAGACCGCCAGCUAAGGUCCCAAAGUCAUGGUUAAGUGGGAAACGAUGUGGGAAGGCCCAGACAGCCAGGAUGUUGGCUUAGAAGCAGCCAUCAUUUAAAGAAAGCGUAAUAGCUCACUGGUCGAGUCGGCCUGCGCGGAAGAUGUAACGGGGCUAAACCAUGCACCGAAGCUGCGGCAGCGAACGUAUCACCCAAGACAACUUUACGGAGUUAACGAUUGACGGAGCGAAGCGACGUCAAAGCGUUCAUUAAAGUCGAGUUGGCUUAGGGAUACGUUCGUUGGGUAGGGGAGCGUUCUGUAAGCCUGUGAAGGUGGCCUGUGAGGGU